UGGCUGAGUGGUAAAGCACUUGGGUUCCGAACUUAAGGUCCUGGGUUCGAAUUCCAG
rnacentral:tRNA from 1 species